rnacentral:rRNA from 1 species
CGAAGGAUCCAAGCGUUAUCCGGAUUUAUUGGGUUUAAAGGGUGCGUAGGCGGGCUAUUAAGUCAGUGGUGAAAUCCUGCAGCUUAACUGUAGAACUGCCAUUGAUACUGAUGGUCUUGAGUACACUUGAGGUAGGCGGAAUGUGCCAUGUAGCGGUGAAAUGCUUAGAUAUGACACAGAACACCGAUUGCGAAGGCAGCUUACUAAAUUGUAACUGACGCUGAGGCACGAAAGCGUGGGGAUCAAACAGGAUUAGAUACCCUGGUAGUCCACGCCCUAAACGAUGAUUACUCGAUGUGUGCAAUACACCGUACGCGUCUGAGCGAAAGCAUUAAGUAAUCCACCUGGGGAGUACGACCGCAAGGUUG